UCCGCGCCGCCGCCGCCCAUUGUCUCCUCCAUCCUCAGGAUCUUGCCCGAUCCAUUCGAGCCACCCGACCAACCUCCUUCUUCCUCGGGAUCCGUCCCGAUCUCUCCACCCAACCACCUUCCCUCCUGCCCAAUCCAUCCAUCCAAUCAGCGCCCGCAAACAGUUCUUGCCUCCUCUGCCCGAUCUCCUUCGCAGCCAGGCCUUCACCUUCUUCCUGAUUCCACUGCGGCCGCCAACGCAUCAGAGAGGAGCUCCUCGAUCCCCUUGACCCCGACCUCUGCGCCGCUGCCUCAAGGUCGGCCUCGCCUCGUCGCCGACGACCGGUGCUGCUGCCGAUGACCACCUCCAGCCCCCCUCUAUCGUGCCCUCGCCCCGCGCCAGCAAGCGAUCCCACUGUCAAGCCGCUCCGACCUGCAGGUCCUCCGCACCGUGUCCCUUCUCCGCUUUUUGUUUCUUUUUCUCUUGCUGCUGCUCUGAUCGCGUUGUCGCUGUGUUCUUCUACAAGGGCUGCACCACCGAGCGGGAGGUCAGGAAGUGAUCCUCCGCCGCCACUGUUCCGCCGGAGCAUCGGUGCCUUGGAUCCGCCCCCCUCGUCCACCUGUCGUCCUCAUCUUCGGGCUCCCCUGCAACUUCUGCUGCCGCCUGCUUCCUCACGUGCGAGAUGAAUGAGUGCUUCGUCCUGCUCGAUCCUGCCGCGCACGCACGCACCCAUCUGCGCCAAGCCAACCGGCCCUGUAGUCGCUGACCUCGUCGGCAACAACCGACGUCGUGGACGCCAACCGCCAAGCCGUCGCCUUCCUCCGCCGCCCUUGCCCGUUCCCGGCCGGAUCCCGCAGGCAGGGCCCCGUCCCCGCCGCUGGUGGCCCCAAGUUCUGCCGCCGCUGCCGUUCCCCUACCAUGGCGCCUCGGCCUCCUCUGCUUCCUCUACAACGAGCAGGUCGCUCGUCCCGCGCCCGCUCGCGUGGACCAAGCCAUGCCAGCGCCAGGCCUAGCCGCAAGCCCCGCGGCCUAGCUCCCACCUCCACCGACCUGGGCCGAGCCCAGCGAGUUCUCGAUACGUUGCGAUCGUGAGGAUUCGAUCAACUACGCCCGUUCGUCUACUUCAUGGAUUCGGUCUUCUUGCUAGCGGGAUUUCAG